GGUGUCUUGGCUAAGGUGUCUUGGCUAAGGUGUCUUGGCUAAGGUGUCUUGGCUAAUGUGUCUUGGGUAAGGUGUCUUGGCUAAGGUGUCUUGGCUAAGGUAUCUUGGCUAAGUUGUCUUGGCUAAGGUGUCUUGGCUAAUGUGUCUUGGCUAAUGUGUCUCGACUAAUAUGUCUCGGCUAAGGUGUCUUGGCUAAGGUGUCUUGGCUAAGGUGUCUUGGCUAAUGUGUCAUGGCUUAUGUGUCUUGGCUAAUGUGUCUUGGCUAAUGUGUCUUGGCUAAGGUGUCUUGGCUAAGGUGUCUUGGCUAAGGUGUCUUGGCUAAGGUGUCUUGGCUAAGGUGUCUUGGCUAAUGUGUCAUGGCUUAUGUGUCUUGGCUAAUGUGUCUUGGCUAAGGUGUCUUGGCUAAGGUGUCUUGGCUAAGGUGUCUUGGCUAAGGUGUCUUGGCUAAUGUGUCUCGGCUAAAGUGUCUUGGGUAAGGUGUCUUGGCUAAGGUGUCUUGGCUAAUGUGUCUCGGCUAAAGUGUCUUGGCUAAGGUGUCUUGGCUAAGGUGUCUUGGCUAAUGUGUCUCGGCUAAAGUGUCUUGGCUAAGGUGUCUUGGCUAAUGUGUCUUGGCUAAUGUGUCUUGGAUAAUGUGUCAUGGCUUAUGUGUCUUGGCUAAUGUGUCUUGGCUAAGGUGUCUUGGCUAAGGUGUCUUGGCUAAGGUGUCUUGGCUAAGGUGUCUUGGCUAAGGUGUCUUGGCUAAGGUGUCUUGGCUAAGGUGUCUUGGCUAAUGUGUCUCGGCUAAAGUGUCUUGGGUAAGGUGUCUUGGCUAAGGUGUCUUGGCUAAUGUGUCUCGGCUAAAGUGUCUUGGCUAAGGUGUCUUGGCUAAGGUGUCUUGGCUAAUGUGUCUCGGCUAAAGUGUCUUGGCUAAGGUGUCUUGGCUAAUGUGUCUUGGCUAAGGUGUCUUGGCUAAUGUGUCAUGGCUUAUGUGUCUUGGCUAAUGUGUCUUGGCUAAGGUGUCUUGGCUAAGGUGUUUUGGCUAAGGUGUCUUGGCUAAUGUGUCUCGGCUAAAGUGUCUUGGCUAAGGUGUCUUGGGUAAGGUGUCUUGGCUAAGGUGUCUUGGCUAAGGUGUCUUGGCUAAUGUGUCUUGGGUAAGGUGUCUUGGCUAAUGUGUCUUGGCUAAAGUGUCUUGGGUAAGGUGUCUUGGCUAAGGUGUCUUGGCUAAGGUGUCUUGGCUAAGGUGUCUUGGCUAAUGUGUCUCGGCUAAAGUGUCUUGGCUAACGUGUCUUGGCUAAUGUGUCUUGGCUAAAGUGUCUUGGCUAAUGUGUCUCGGCUAAUGUGUCUUGGCUAAUGUGUCUUGGCUAAUGUGUCUUGGCUAAGGUGUCUUGGCUAAGGUGUCUUGGCUUAUGUGUCUUGGCUAAGGUGUCUUGGCUUAUGUGUCUCGGCUAAGGUGUCUUGGCUAAGGUGUCUCGGCUAAUGUGUCUCGGCUAAGGUGUCUUGGCUAAGGUGUCUUGGCUAAGGUGUCUCGGCUAAGGUGUCUUGGCUAAUGUGUCUUGGCUAAGGUGUCUCGGCUAAGGUGUCUCGGCUAAGGUGUCUUGGCUAAUGUGUCUCGGCAAAGGUGUCUUGGCUAAGGUGUCUUGGCUAAGGUGUCUUGGCUAAGGUGUCUUGGCAAAGGUGUCUUGGCUAAGGUGUCUUGGCUAAGGUGUCUUGGCUAAGGUGUCUUGGCUAAGGUGUCUUGGCUAAUGUGUCUUGGCUAAGGUGUUUUGGCUAAUGUGUCUCGGCUAAGGUGUCUUGGCUAAGGUGUCUUGGCUAAUGUGUCUCGGCUAAGGUGUCUUGGCUUAUGUGUCUUGGCUAAUGUGUCUUGGCUAAGGUGUCUUGGCUAAGGUGUCUUGGCUAAGGUGUCUUGGCUAAUGUGUCUUGGCUAAUGUGUCUUGGCUAAGGUGUCUUGGCUAAGGUGUCUUGGCUAAGGUGUCUUGGCUAAUGUGUCUUGGCUAAUGUGUCUUGGCUAAUGUGUCUUGGCUAAGGUGUCUUGGCUAAUGUGUCUUGGCUAAAGUGUCUUGGCUUAGGUGUCUUGGCUAAUGUGUCUCGGCUAAUGUGUCUUGGCUAAGGUGUCUUGGCUAAUGUGUCUCGGCUAAGGUGUCUUGGCUAAAGUGUCUUGGCUAAUGUGUCUUGGCUAAUGUGUCUCGGCUAAUGUGUCUUGGCUAAGGUGUCUUGGCUAAUGUGUCUUGGCUAAGGUGUCUUGGCUAAGGUGUCUUGGCUAAGGUGUCUUGGCUAAAGUGUCUCGGCUAAGGUGUCUUGGCUAAGGUGUCUUGGCUAAUGUGUCU